rnacentral:rRNA from 1 species
GAUGAACGCUGGCGGCGUGCCUAAUACAUGCAAGUCGAGCGAACGGACGAGAAGCUUGCUUUUCUGAUGUUAGCGGCGGACGGGUGAGUAACACGUGGAUAACCUACCUAUAAGACUGGGAUAACUUCGGGAAACCGGAGCUAAUACCGGAUAAUAUUUUGAACCGCAUGGUUCAAAAGUGAAAGACGGUCUUGCUGUCACUUAUAGAUGGAUCCGCGCUGCAUUAGCUAGUUGGUAAGGUAACGGCUUACCAAGGCAACGAUGCAUAGCCGACCUGAGGGGGUGAUCGGCCACACUGGAACUGAGACACGGUCCAGACUCCUACGGGAGGCGGCAGUAGGGAAUCUUCCGCAAUGGGCGAAAGCCUGACGGAGCAACGCCGCGUGAGUGAUGAAGGUCUUCGGAUCGUAAAACUCUGUUAUUAGGGAAGAACAUAUGUGUAAGUAACUGUGCACAUCUUGACGGUACCUAAUCAGAAAGCCACGGCUAACUACGUG